GCUCUGGGACCGUCAGGAGCCAGCCCUGAGAGGAGAGCGGUAGGCCACAGAGGGCACUGGCAGGGAUGGAGCAUUAGCCUCAAAUCACUUUGCCUGAAGUGGACAUCAGUAAGGAAACCAGAACCAAACACACAAAAGAGCAGUUCCUGAACACGUGCAACCUACGGGAGACCCCUGGAAAUGACGGGAGACCCCCGGAAAUGAUGGGAGCAGGAGGCUAGUGAUACAUGGUACCAUAUUCUCUUGCAAUGCCAGGCGGGGACAGAGCCACAGCAACCAGUCAGCCCUGCAAUCAUGAGCGUGAACCAUUGAGCCUCUAGCUUGCAGUGUUGCCAGAUGACCUUGCCCAACCAUAGGCUAAGGGAAGUGAUCUGAGCACGUGUAAGAAGAUGGAGGAAAAUCAAUCCUAGUUUCAGCGAGGUUUUGCAGUGCAUGUGCAGGCUACGUUAAUGUCACCCAGGAGCUUGAUUGACAGAUGCUCAAAUGCCCAGCCCUAUCCCUGCCCCAUCUACUGAGGAACCCAAGCACCUGAAGUUCCACAAAUGCUGCAGGUGAUUUCUAUUUAUGCUAUCAUUUGAAGAACACUGAUUUAAUGUGACUGUCUAUUAAAGUUUUAUGCAAAUUGCUUCCGUAAGUUUAUUUUUUCUCAGAAAACUAAUUCAGGAAAUAACCUUUAUAAGCCUGGAUGAUACUCAGUACCUUAUCGGACUAUGUUUUUGUAUUUUCACUUACUGGCUUUGUUUUUAAAUAGCCACAGAGUAGGUAUGGGACACUGGGGGAUGGAGAGCACAUGACAGGAA
rnacentral:lncRNA from 1 species